GCAAACUUGGUCAUUUAGAGGAAGUAAAAGUCGUAACAAGGUUUCCGUAGGUGAACCUGCGGAAGGAUCAUUAUUGAAUAAAUAUGGUUGGUUGUAGCUGGCUUUUCGGAGCAUGUGCACACCUGCCGUCUUUAUCCAUCCACCUGUGCAUCUUUUGUAGUCUUGGGUUUUGAGAGAGCUGGCAGAUUUUCGAUUGGCCUAUGUGUCUGUCGGAUGUGAGGAGUGCUGAUAACUCUCCUUGAGAUGUGGCAAUCUCGUCCCAGGUCUAUGUCUUUUCAUAUACCAUAUAGUAUGAUACAGAAUGUACUUCAUGGGCCUCUGCGCCUAUAAAACACUAUACAACUUUCAGCAACGGAUCUCUUGGCUCUCGCAUCGAUGAAGAACGCAGC
rnacentral:misc_RNA from 1 species